rnacentral:rRNA from 1 species
GGAUCAUGGCUCAGGAUGAACGCUAGCUACAGGCUUAACACAUGCAAGUCGAGGGGCAGCAUGGUCUUAGCUUGCUAAGGCCGAUGGCGACCGGCGCACGGGUGAGUAACGCGUAUCCAACCUGCCUUACACUCUUGGACAGCCUUCUGAAAGGGAGAUUAAUACAAGAUGUUAUCAUGAGUAAGCAUUUUCGCAUGAUUAAAGAUUUAUCGGUGAUGGAUGGGG